UUUUUUUUAAAAAUAUGUUUGCUGUUGUCUUCAUUCGAUAAACUGCUAUCUCUGAGUGGCAGGUUUUUUUUUUAGAGCUGUAAAAUGUGGAGAUAAUACAAUUUACCUCAGAAGUUAGGAGAGUUCAGCGAGAUGAUACAGAUGAAACCUCGUACCUCUUGACAGCUGACUCACAAUUAUGCUUUAUACUGCCAUUGGUAGAUAGGGAAGCUAAGACCCAAAGAGAGAGAGAGAGACAGGGGACCCAUAUGAAAGGUUUUGUCUGAGCUUUGUGCAGAAGGAGUGGGUCUGUUUAACAACUUGCAAUACACCAGCAGCCCUGAUAUAAAACUUGCCUUCUUAAUAGGAUAUGCUCUCUUGGAUAGGUAGAAAUGGAUUCUCACAGAACAUUUUUCAUAGCCUGAAAACCCUGAAAGUCAUUGCAAUGGGUCUUGAAUAUUUUUUAGUUAUUGGCACUUAAAAUUGGGAGAUUUCACAUGUGCAAAUCUGGAUUUCCAGCUUCUCUUGAAAAAGUAGAUGAGCUGACCACAUUGGAUGGACCCACCCACAUUCCUGCCAAUCAACAAUUAGCUGGAACUGAGUAGAGUCUCCUUCUUUUGGACAAGAUGCUCUGUUUCAAAUGGCCUCAAUCCCCACCACUCCCUUUUGUCUCUUAAACAGAAUGCUGUUUACAUUUACUGUUCCUCUCAGAUUGUUUUCCUUAGAUCUGAUAUUUUUCUUUAUUUCCAGAGAUGGGAAAACAGGAGUCUAGAGUUUGUUAUACCUACUAGCUUCAAACCUUUACUUCCUUUGCCUCGCCUCUUGGCAUUUUGAUUCACUGCCCUGAGUGAACCAACAGUCCUAUUCCCUGGAUGGCGACAGGCAGUCAGAAAUCUGGGCUUAAGGGAGCACAUCAAACCUUGCUGCAAGGAUGAAGGGUCAUGGAAGAUUUUUACUGGGGGCGGGGAGGAGAACUUUAAGCUGAGACUCAAGAAGAAAAAGGGAGAUUUAGGGCAUUCCAGGUAGAAGGCAUUGCCUGUGCCAAGCACAGAGUGAAUGGGAGCAAAACUUUGUGGAAACUGCAGUCUACACCUGGGGGCGUGGCCAGGGUAUGGGAAAGGGAUGAAAGCUGAGUUUGGAAGGUCAUUUGGAAGUUAAAUCAUAGACUGUCUAGAAUCCCAUGUUGAAAAAUUGAACCCUUGUUCUUUUGGGAAAGGGAAUGAACUCUUGCAGUCCAUGGAAUCUCAGAAUGUUAGAUCUCUAGUCCCAUUUCUUGCAUCCCUAUUAGAAUCAUGGAAUAUUAGAAAUAGAUCUUGGAGGUCUAUUAGAAUUGUGGAAUGUUAGAAUGGAAGGGACCAUACAUAUUAAAUCUAAAAGUUAAAUGCAGUUAUUCUAAACUGUAUGGGUGAGCAAAUGCCCAGAAUCUGAAAACAAUACCUCAUCUGGAAUUAUUCUACAUAUUUAUGCAUAUAAUUUUAGGUGAUUUCCAGAUAUCCUUGAACCUACUCACAGGACCCAGGUUUAGUUUAAAAUACAUUUAUUUAUAUGUAUUUCAUUCUCCCAAAUUUUGCAGGUUAAGAAGUCAGCGCACCAAGAGGAAAUGGAUUGGUCCAAACUAAAAAACCUAGUAAGUGGUUCCACAAGGACAGAAUUCUUCGGACUUGUAGUAGUCCGAUGUUCUUAUCAUAUUAGGUCUUUUCAUUAGCAACUAGGUUGGGAGCUCACUUGAGAAGGUGUCAUAAAUCAUGCAUCUCCUAUCACUUAGCUUCCAAUAUAAGGCCUGAUUCCCAGUUGGACUCUCAGUAAAUAUUGAAUCAAGAAAAAGUGGUAAGUAGAGGUUUCAUCUCUGAAGGGGAGCUCUAAUGUGAUUCCCAUACUCUUUCAGAGAGACUUCGGUGUCUUUUGAUGGCAUACUGUUGGGGGUUGUGGUAUAGAAGCCUGGAUAUUUUUUUUAAGCCUUUUUAUUUGGAAAUAGUUAUGGCUUCAUAGAAAGUUACAAAAAUUAUACAGAGAGGUCUCAUGCAUACUUCACCCAGUUUUCUGCAGUGGUGACAUCUUAUACAACCACAGUAUAAUGUCAACACUGGGAAGUUGACAAUGAUACAAUCCACAGAGUUUGUUCACAUUAUACCAGUUUUAUAAGCACUUAUUUAUGUAUGUGUAUAGGCCUAUGCAAUUUUAUCACAUGUGUAGAUUCAUACAACUGUACCACAAUCAAUAUCUAGAAAUGUUUGAUGACCACUAUGAUCCUGUAACUGAACUAAAGUGAUUUUGAUCCUUAGUGAAUCACAGAUAGAAACUACACCACAUAGAAUGCUUUCACGGGUAAACUGCAUUUGCAGCAAGUGAGAUCAUGGGUAAUAACUUCCAAAGCUGUGACUCUUUGAGCAAGGGUGAAUUAAUUCCUUUUAUUUAGGGUUAGGAUGAAUAUUUAGAUAAGAGGUCCUUGUCAUCAUAUGUAGAGGUGGGCAUAAAGUUGUGCAUGCACCUUAAGGAAACAUGCCAAUAAUGUGCAUCGUAUAUUAUGUAAAUGAGGUUCAUGCUCCUCCUUGAGUGGAGAUUUUAGUAUUAUAAUGAGGGAAAGGUAACAGCUGGUCACUCCAUGGCCCAUCUGCACACAUGUGAGUCAGGGGUUGAAUUGAAACUGAUCUGGGGGGUCUAGGCCAGCUACUGCUCUUUAUCCAGGCAGUUUCCAUCACAGGAUGCUAUGACCAUUGGGUCUUUUGCCUGAAUUAAAGAGAUAAGCUGGAAAGAAGAGCUUAAGGAAAAAUGUGGGACAAAAGUUGGUGAGUACAAGCAGGUAGGCAGUAAAGGUCAGGUCUUGGGGUCUAGUUCUCACAGUCUCUCCUGCUACCGUUUUAUAAUUACACCUACCCCUCUCCCCUACCCCCCAUCUCUAGCCACAGGCAACCACUAAUCUGUUCUCCAUCUCUAUAAUGUUGUCAUUUCAAAAAUGUUAUAUAAAUGGAAUUGUACAGUGUGUAACCAUUUGGGACUGGCUUUCUUCACACAGAGUAAUGCCCUGGAGAUUCAUCUAGGUUGUUUCAUAUUCUAAUAAAACGUUCAUUUUUAUUGCUGAGUAAUAAUCCAUGAUGUGGCUAUACCAUGGUUUGCUUAUCCAGUCACUGGUUGAAGGACAUUUGAGUUAUUUCCAAUUUGGGGCUAUUCCAAAAUGAAGCUGCUAUGAAUUCUUUUAUCAUAUGGCCUUGGAUAAGUCAGACUCUGAGCCUGGGGGUAGUAAGUAUGACACAGAAUGGUUCUGAAGAGUCAAAGAGGAAAUAUAUGUAAAGGAACUGGUACCAGGUCUGGUAUUAUUUAGAUGUUCUUUAAUUUCUUCCAUCAAUGUUUUAUCAUUUUCAGUAUACAGAAUCUGCACAUAUUAUAUUUAUACCUAAGUAUUUCAUGUUUUUAGUGCUACUAUAAAUGGUAUUAUUUAAAAUUUUUCAGUUUCUAGUUGUUCAAUAGUAUAUAAAAAUAAAAUUGAUUUUUGUCUAA
rnacentral:lncRNA from 1 species